rnacentral:lncRNA from 1 species
CACCUCACCCAUGUUAGGUGGCCAGGCAGGUGCCUGACACUGCUGUCCUCUGGGGAGGUGUAAAAUUUCCAUUAGAAAAAUGCAAGGAGGCUGGCCCUGGUGGCACAAACCUUAAAUCCCAGCACUCAGGAUGGAGAGACCGGCAGAUCUCGGAGUUUCAGGCUAGUUAGAACUACGCAGUAAGACCCCGUCUCAAAAACAAACAAACGAGCAAGAAGACGAAAAAGGAGGAGGAAGAGAACUAAGUGCCAAGAACUGGAAGAGGAAGUAUGUUGCUGCGCUGCAGAGUUGCCGUGGCAAUGGGUCAGCAGCAGAAAGAAACAGGUUCUGCCCUCAACAGACCAUCUGUUAGGAAGGGACCUUAAAUCUCCAAGAAAGGAAGUCUCUAGAGAUAGGACAUUCCAUUCUGUUGGAGUUUAAAUUUGGUCCCAGAGCAACAAGACCUGCUUUGGAGCCUCCAAACCUCAGGACUCCACAGUUCUCAAAAAGACAGCCGAACGGCUUCCUGGAAUCCCGUGUGAGCUGUCAGCUCUGCAGCAGUGUAAAGAUGCUGGAGCAUCCUCCAACCGCAAGCCAAGGACCACAAAGCCUUGCGUAUCACCUUGGCUUUCUUACAAAAAAGCUCUCUGAUCAAGGUGUGGCUGAGACUGGAGAGCAUGGGUGUGGCUGAGACUGGAGAGCAUGGGUGUGGCUGAGACUGGAGAGCAUGGGUGUGGCUGAGACUGGAGAGCAUGGGUGUGGCUGAGACUGGAGAGCAUGGGAAAUAUCCAGGCUAUGUGGCUUCAAAGGUGGCCAACUCUGGGACAAGUUGUUACUCUUGCUAUCCUCCUGCUCCGGAUCAAGGACAGACUGAAGAAAACCUGGGUUUUGCUUCAUUAUCUUUCUACACAGGACACCCCUUCUGCCUGCCGGGUCCUUCAGAAGACUCCCCGGAGUCCCCUCUCUAUUCGGCUGCUUGCUGGUGAAAAGGUCAGCUUAGGAACUUUGGGAAGGUCAUGGAACACUUGCCUCUACAGAAGGGAGAGGCCAAUUAACAUUUCUCAGACCACAGGGCGGGAACUGACCUGCGGGUGGGGACACAUUCCUCAGGACGGACUGUUGUCCACCUUCAGACAAGGGAAGUCCUUGUCACCUCAUUCCCUAAAGACCACUCAGUUUAAAGGGUGCACUGUUCCGCCAAUCAUCUUGUGCCUAGUUGCUGAUGCUCUAUUCUGCCCCUGGAAGCCAUAUAAAAACUUGCCAACUGGGUGCUGGGGUUGCCACCUCUUGUUCGGGUCUGGGUUGACCCCAGUGCACUGGAACAAUAAAUUCCUCUUGCUUUUUGCACCUAUCCUGGCUCCGCGUGAUUCACUCGGGGGUCCCCGGAAAGCUAAGGCUCCCCGGAGUCUUACACUGGCAGUGCUUGGGGCUCCUUGGUUUGCACAGCAACUCUCCUGUCUCUCUGGUCUGAGUCCAAUCUCCUCUCUUCAUAUAAGAACAGCAGUCACAUUCGCUUAUGGCCACCUACAUCCCCUGUGGCCUCACUUAACUUCCUAUAUACCCAUCAAGGUCCUAUUUCCAAAUCAAGUCACAAUCGGAGGCUCCACGUCUACAUGAAUUUGGGGGAAACUAUUCAAGCAAACAUAGCAACUGAAGGUAAAGAACAAUAGAGUGGUUGGGUGGGGUGUCACGUGCCUUUAAUCCCAGCACUUGGGAGGCAGAGGCAGACAGGUGGCCUGGUCUUCAUUGAUCUAUAUAGCAAAUUCCCAGCCAUCCAGAGCAGCAUAGUGAGAUCCUGC